AACACGUCAUUCCAUGGCGUUCGCGGGAUGGUCGUGUGUGCAGAUGGAGAAGUGGUGGCACAGUGUUUAGAAAAUAAAAACACUACCCUGGACCCACAGUUCAUGCCACAGCGCAUGGUGGAGCAGCGCGUCCCUGUCCUCUCGGAGAUAAAAGCGCCCAGGUGACCCACCGCAGGCAGUGAACUGCAAAACAACGACAUGUGUCGUGCUAGCAGAGACCUUGCAAGGAAGUGGCUCUCACCCCUCGGGCUUGGCAACUGGACACGUCAGUGGCUGCUCCAUCAGUCUGGGUCCUGAGCGACUACCAGGCCCAUCGUGGACUUUGUGGACACGUAGAAUAAGAAGAGAUGAAUGUGCAUGUUUAUUGCAGCAAAAUUAACCAAUCUUGCAUCACACCAAAACUGGUACCUACACGUGGGGAGCCACCACCGCAGACGAAAAACAAAAGAAAAGCAGAGGAGACAAGUUACAUAAUCUACGUACUGGAAGACUAAGCAUUUUUAUUUCUCAUUGCCGUUUGAAUUGAAAGGAACACUCAGUCCUGGAACAUGGCUCCGACAAAGACAGUGGGGACUCGGUUUGCAAUGUUCUCUUCGGCCCAGCACAGACUGCACUUUGGCAGUGAGCAAGGUCAGGAUUUGGAGAGGUUAUUUCUCAGCCUGGAUGUGUGCCCUGCCGUGUGCAUGUCCCACUAUGUGCAUGUUCCACUGUGUGCAUGUCCCACUGUGUGUAUGUUCCACUGUGUGUAUGUUCCACCCUGUAUGUGUUCCACCGUGUGUGCACUAGGUACCCUCAGUGGAAACUGGUCCUCAUCUUCAGUGCCAUCUAUCCCAUGAGCAUCCCUUCCUUUUUAACCCAAGGCUGGUUGCAGAAGAUGGGCACUAGCUCACACUGCUGAUUCGACCAGUCCUGCUGCCACUAGCACUGAAGUCACUAGCAAGGUACCUGAUUGUCUUUUGGAACAGAACAGCCAGGAGCAGAGAGUGGGAAAAAUGUAGCAGAGCACCAAGC
rnacentral:lncRNA from 1 species